CCCCUUGAGUUAAAAGGUUGCUCUGUACGAAUUUUCUGAGGAGAACACUGUAAUUAUACUAUAAAAUAAGAAAUCAUUAGCAUCAGUAAAAGAAACAUCAAAUUAAUUAGUUGGCCCUUUAUUUUCCUGAACAAGCAACUUUAACAAUGAUCAUCAUUUCAUUUUAGGUAAACAAAAUUACAAAUCAAUUCAGAAAUUUUGUCAAAUUCAUCAACUUGACAAUAACAUAAUUUAACCAUCAUAACUUUCAUCACAAGUACAUGUAUCUCCAUUAAAAGAUGUAGUCCUGAAUCAAUAUAUUAAUAUUUCGCUCUGAUGUUCAGGUUGAUAUUUGGCAAUGUGAUAAAUAAAGCUUUUCUUUAAUAAACAAAAGAUUUGCUAAAAUUUGAGUCAGGAGAGAGGGGGGGAGGUAUUCUUUAAUUUUACUGCCAUUUUUUCUAUCCUUUUUUUUUUUGCUGUUAUUCUAGAUUCCACAUUUUUAAACACCCCAUCAUGCUCUAUUAAUUUGGUUUGCCUAUGUUUUCUUAAUUCUUUAAUAUGUUUUGCCCUUUAUUCUCUUAUUCUGUUAAACCUGAGACUACUUUUUAUAGUAGUCUCAGGUUAAACCCAUCGAGAACCUCAUAUAUUGUUGUCAAUUAUUUGGCUGAUUUGAAAAAUUUAAUAAUUUUACAACUAAAUUUUAACCAUUAGACUCCAAACAAAAAAUUGAACACAAGCAAACACUGCAAUUUUUUUCUGCUUUUAAAUUACAUUUUUACAGUUAAAUCCAUUAAAGACAACUGCAGACAUGCAAGAGUUACUUCCCUUACGUAUUGCAGUUUUAAAAUUUGCAUUGCACUUCUAAAUUCACCAAAAAUUUAAUACACCACAUACAAAUUUACAUAUUAUUGCAUUUAACAUGAUUACAACAACAAAUCUUCAAUGUAUAUGUACGAAUUAAUCCUGUAAGUAAAUAUCUGUCGUCUGCUCCUCAGGGUUUAUACAAUAUUUUCAUUGUGGAUUUAUCAUGAUAUUUUACUAUUGAAUAUCUAGUUGGAAUAUUUCACGAAGACAUAGUUUUUUUUAUCACAUAUGGAAAAUCAAUCAUCAGAUCACCAUUAACUACAGUAGAUAUAUAGAGGAUUUAGACUUUCAAAAAUGGGGGGCUUGAAAAAAAAAGGGGGGGCAUUUAUUUUCUUGGGGAACAGCAAUCAACCAAAUGUUUUCAAAAUUAUGGAUCAAUGUCCUUAAUAUAAGUAAAAUGUAGCAAUCAUUUUAGUAUGCUAUAAGAAGUAAACAUACAAAAAAGGCUUUCAUUUAAAAUCAAAUGUCAUGUAAACAAUUUGCAAUAAUUGGCUAAAUACAUCGCCUGAACAGUCUGAUGGAAGAAUAGUUGACCCCGAUACAUUCCUUGUAUUGCUCAUAAAUGGCAAUGGGCACAUGAAUUCAAUAUAGGUCUUUAUUCUUUCUUCAUAUUAAAAACAAAUAAAAAAUCAAAACUUACGAAGAAUAUAAUCCUGUAACAAUAUCUAAACAAAAACAAACAAUUUAAUAUAACACAAUAAAAUAAUUAUUAAAUACAAUUCUGUAAACACAGAAAUAUUUCAAUCUGCUUUGGGGAAAACAGCAAUGCAAUGAACUUUGCUAAAAUAUGUACAUAUAUAGUUU
rnacentral:lncRNA from 1 species